GAAAUCCAGAGUGGGUGGGGCCA
rnacentral:miRNA from 1 species